GCCCAUGUCCACCGUUGCCUGCACUGCACCUGCAUAUAUGCUCAUCCUUCCCAAUCUAAGCAAAGCAUGCAAUAGCUCGUUUAUCCCUGUUUACCUUGGCACCAGAUUGAUGGACCUCUAUAUACGCAUGGAAAUAAAUAAUUGUGUAUUCUACGGAUAAUAUUUGUGUUGUAUGCAUCUCAAAUUAGCCUGGGAUGGCAAUGCGAGGUUGAACUCUCUCAUUAUCUACCACGUCUUUAUAAACUUGUUUUGCUGCUAGCUUGAGCCUGAUGAUUUGCGAAUUUGAGUUUGUACUUUGUUUCACAGCCUGAAGAUUUGCUAGGAUUGGCUGUUCGCCUGUCCUUGCCGUGCUCCGCUUUCUUCUACU